rnacentral:sRNA from 12 species
UUCGGUCUGUUUAAACAUGAUUAACUCAGUGAAGAUGGAUUUUUCAGUCCUGCUGAGAUGCGAUGGUAAUGAGAUAGGUUGAUUCGGGAUACUGGAUUAACUGAUUCUUUCCAGCAGAAGUGAUUCUGUCGGUGGAGACGAACAUCGUCAACAAUGCCUUGCAGUGUAUCAUCAUAGAGAAGUCAAAUGCAGAAUCCUUGUGGUCGGCGUAGAAUAGACGCUUGCAGUGCAAGAAUAAUCCGGUGAUGUGAAGAUGGUGUGAGAGACCACAGACUAACUGGAAAUCUCAAAUAAGCUGAUUUGCCUUGAAUCUGAGAAAUCAGAGUAUAACACAAGAAAUUCGUUAAAGUAGCGGUAUGGCAAGUUCUUCAAUAAGCAGUUUUUCGAUGUUAGCAUAUGGAAUAAGGAAUGCAAGUAGAAAAAAACAUGAUCUGAAAGAACCGUGAAAUUUAUGGGUAUCAAUCCCAUGUGUGCUUUGACCGCGGUAAGAAGCCAAGGGUCGCGCCCGAACGCUCAGACUUAUCGUCACACUGGCAGAAUAUGACUGUAUCUUGAUGAAUAAGGGGAAGCCCUAGUCAUGUUUUUUAAAUAGA